rnacentral:misc_RNA from 1 species
CCGAGUUUGCAACUCCCAAACCCUGUGAACAUACCACUUGUUGCCUCGGCGGAUCAGCCCGCUCCCGGUAAAACGGGACGGCCCGCCAGAGGACCCCUAACCCUGUUCUAUAUGUAACUUCUGAGUAAAACCAUAAAUAAAUCA